rnacentral:rRNA from 1 species
CACGUAGGGCGCAAGCGUUUGUCCGGAAUUAUUGGGCGUAAAGAGCUCGUAGGCGGUCUGUUGCGUCUGCUGUGAAAACUCGGGGCUUAACCCCGAGCCUGCAGUGGAUACGGGCAGACUAGAGGUAGGUAGGGGAGAAUGGAAUUCCCGGUGUAGCGGUGAAAUGCGCAGAUAUCGGGAGGAACACCGGUGGCGAAGGCGGAUCUCUGGGCCUUACCUGACGCUGAGGCGCGAAAGCUAGGGGAGCGAACAGG